rnacentral:tRNA from 2 species
GGUAACUUAGUUUAGUGGCAGAACGUCUAAUAAAUUUAGAAGGCUUGGGUUCGAUUCCUAAAGUUACUU